CUCUCUCUCUCUCUCUCUCUCUCUCUCUCUCGGCCUCCCAGGGUUGGCCACGGACACCCACAUCGCUCCGUCGGAUGAUUUUUACUUGACAAAUUACCUCGUUUAUUUUUUCUCCGUCGUGUUGGUCGCCUUUCUGUGUGUCCUGUCGCCGCCGCCGCCGCCGCCGCCACCCAGUUCUCGCAAUAAAAUACGACAGCCAAUCAAGAGGCGUCAAUUCACCGCCAAUCUUCCCUGCAGGCCAAUGGGAAGCUGCCACGUCACCAGGUUAUCAUAACGGCGGCCAAUCAGGUGCCGGGGACGAGCAGUGGUGUUGAUAGUGGUGAUGGUCACGAGAAACACUCACACGUCUGUUCAUUUUUUCCCCCCACGUUGCCUAUUAGUGCGUCGUGUGUUGUCAUCGCCGUCACCACCUGCUCUUCCCUCCCGCGACGCCCUUCACCUGCGUGCGAUCACCUGUCACGCCGCCGCGCCCUCCUGACUGACGCCUCCAGUCCUCCCGGCGUGACACCUGUGACAUCAGCCUCGCCGGGACCCUUCCACAGGUCGUCCAUCCAGUAAUUACCUGCCGCCUUCCGCCCCCAAGACUGUGAAUCAAACAAAAACAAACAGGAAAAGUCAGUGUAUCAGAAGCUGUGAGGAGUGACAACAGGAGUAUGAAUGUCAACAGGAUGUGAAUAAGAGCUGAAAGGAAUAAAUUGUUUGUUCUAACCU